rnacentral:ncRNA from 1 species
ACUAUUAAUGUUCCCAGCGCGAAUUGCAAAUGAAUCGUUAUCUAUGUGAUAUCUCAUGUGUUUCACUUUAAAACGCAUCAAACAAACGUUGAUAAGCAUAAGAAACAAAUCUAUUGAAGUUCCCAAGGCGAAUUGCAAAUGAAUUGUUAUCUAUGCGAUAUAUCACGCGUUUUAUGUUAGAAUCCAUCGAACAAGCGUGGAUUUGCAUUAGAAACAAACUAUUAAAGUUUCUAUCGCAUUCCCCGUUCUUAGUUGUUGGAGCGACGUUUCUGGUUAAUUCCGAAAACGAACGAGACUCUAGCCUGCUAAAUAGGCGUACCUUAUGGUAUCUUGAAAGCCCCCGGCCUCGGUCGGCGUGUUUUUACUACCAACGCACAAACAGAUUUUCUUAGAAGGACAGGCGGCUUCUAGCCGCACGAGAUUGAGCAAUAACAGGUCUGUGAUGCCCUUAUAUGUUCUGAGACGCACGGGCGCUACAUUGAAGGAAUCAGCGUGUUCCCUGACCGAAAGGCCCGGGUAACCAACUGAACCUCCUUCGUGCUAGGGAUUGUUGCUUGCAAUUGUUACACAUGAACAAAGAAUUACCAGUAGACACCAGUCAUAAGCUUGCGUUGAUUACGUUCGAGC